rnacentral:rRNA from 1 species
ACGGGACCCGCACAAGCGGUGGAUGAUGUGGAUUAAUUCGAUGCAACGCGAAAACCUUACCUACCCUUGACAUGUCCGGAAUCCCGAAGAGAUUUGGGAGUGCUCGCAAGAGAACCGGAACACAGGUGCUGCAUGGCUGUCGUCAGCUCGUGUCGUGAGAUGUUGGGUUAAGUCCCGCAACGAGCGCAACCCUUGUCAUUAGUUGCCAUCAUUUGGUUGGGCACUCUAAUGAGACUGCCGGUGACAAACCGGAGGAAGGUGGGGAUGACGUCAAGUCCUCAUGGCCCUUAUGGGUAGGGCUUCACACGUCAUACAAUGGUCGGUACAGAGGGUUGCCAAGCCGCGAGGUGGAGCCAAUCCCAGAAAGCCGAUCGUAGUCCGGAUUGUUCUCUGCAACUCGAGAGCAUGAAGUCGGAAUCGCUAGUAAUCGCGGAUCAGCAUGUCGCGGUGAAUACGUUCCCGGGUCUU